rnacentral:rRNA from 1 species
GCUUAGAGUUUGAUCCUGGCUCAGAUUGAACGCUGGCGGCAUGGCUAAAGCAUGCAAGUCGAACGAGAAACAGGCUUCGGCCUGUGGACAGUGGCGAACGGGCGAGUAAUGCAAUCGAACGCACCCCAAGGUGGGGGAUAGCCGUGGGAAACUGCGGGUAAUACCCCAUGUGCUCUCCGGAGGAAAGGCUUCGGCCGCCUUGGGAACGGCGAUUGUCCUAUCAGGUUGUUGGUGAGGUAAUGGCUCACCAAGCCGAAGACGGGUAGCGGGUGUGAGAGCAUGACCCGCCGCAUCGGGACUGAGACACUGCCCGGACUCCUACGGGAGGCUGCAGCAACGAAUAUUCCGCAAUGCGCGAAAGCGUGACGGAGCAAUGCCGCGUGCAGGAUGAAGCGGUUUCGCCGUGUAAACUGCUGUCAGGGUGCAGGAAUACUGACCACACCCAAAGGAAGGGCCGGCUAACCUCGUGCCAGCAGCCGCGGUAAGACGAGGGGCCCGAGCGUUAAUCGGAAUCACUGGGCUUAAAGGGUGCGCAGGCGGACGCGCAAGCGUCCUGUGAAAGCCUCCGGCUCAACCGGAGAAUUGCAGGGCGAACUGCGUGUCUUGAGGCAGGUAGAGGUCGUCGGAACGCUAGGUGGAGCGGUGAAAUGCGUAGAGAUCUAGCGGAACGCCAAAGGAGAAGUCAGACGACUGGGCCUGUCCUGACGCUCAGGCACGAAAGCGUGGGGAGCGAACGGGAUUAGAUACCCCGGUAGUCCACGCCGU